rnacentral:rRNA from 1 species
CCUACGGGUGGCAGCAGUGAGGAAUAUUGGUCAAUGGACGGAAGUCUGAACCAGCCAUGCCGCGUGCAGGAAGACGGCUCUAUGAGUUGUAAACUGCUUUUGUACAAGGGUAAACCUGAAUACGUGUAUUCUGCUGAAAGUACUGUACGAAUAAGGAUCGGCUAACUCCGUGCCAGCAGCCGCGGUAAUACGGAGGAUCCAAGCGUUAUCCGGAUUUAUUGGGUUUAAAGGGUUCGUAGGCGGAUUGAAAAGUUAGAGGUGAAAUGUCCGAGCUUAACUCGGGAACUGCCUCUAAUACUGUUGAUCGAGAGAGUAGAUGCGGUAGGCGGAAUGUAUGGUGUAGCGGUGAAAUGCUUAGAGAUCAUACAGAACACCGAUUGCGAAGGCAGCUUACCAAUCUAUAUCUGACGUUGAGGCACGAAAGCGUGGGGAGCAAACAGGAUUAGAUACCCGUGUAGUC